rnacentral:rRNA from 1 species
GACGAACCGUGCGAACGUUGUUCGGAUUCACUGGGCUUAAAGGGCGCGUAGGCGGGCCUCCAAGUCAGGGGUGAAAUCCCACGGCUCAACCGUGGAAGUGCCUUUGAUACUGGGGGCCUCGAGGGAGGUAGGGGCGUGCGGAACUUCCGGUGGAGCGGUGAAAUGCGUAGAUAUCGGAAGGAACGCCGGUGGCGAAAGCGGCGCGCUGGACCUCUUCUGACGCUGAGGCGCGAAAGCCAGGGGAGCAAACGGG